UCCCUGGUGGCUUAGACGGUAAAGUGUCUGCCUGUAAUGCAGGAGACCCAGGUUCAAUCCCUGGGUUGGGAA
rnacentral:tRNA from 1 species